UCAGGAUGAACGCUGGCGGCGUGCCUAAUACAUGCAAGUGAAACGGGUAUCUUCGGAUACCAGUCGCGGACGGGUGAGUAAUACAUAGGCAACCUGCCUUUAUGAGGGGGAUAACCGAGGGAAACUUUGGCUAAUACCGCAUGAAGACUCUAAGGCAUCUUAGAGGGAUAAAAGUUGGGAAACAACGCAUGAAGAUGGGCUUAUGGCGCAUUAGCUAGUUGGUGAGAUAGAAGCCCACCAAGGUAAUGAUGCGUAGCCGACCUGAGAGGGUGAACGGCCACAUUGGGACUGAGACACGGCCCAAACUCCUACGGGAGGCAGCAGUAGGGAAUUUUCGGCAAUGGGGGGAACCCUGACCGAGCAACGCCGCGUGAAGGAAGAAGGUUUUCGGAUUGUAAACUUCUGUUAUAAGGGAAGAACGGAUUGGAUAGGGAAUGAUCUGAUAGUGACGGUACCUUAUUAGAAAGCCACGGCUAACUACGUGCCAGCAGCUGC
rnacentral:rRNA from 1 species